rnacentral:rRNA from 1 species
CCUUUACCGUGAAAAAAUUAGAGUGUUCAAAGCAGGCAGAUCCAAUUUUCUGCCACCGAAUACAUUAGCAUGGGAUAAUGGAAUAGGACCCUGUCCUCCUAUUUUCAGUUGGUUUUGGCAGCGCGAGGACUAGGGUAAUGAUUAAUAGGGAUAGUUGGGGGCAUUAAUAUUUAAUUGUCAGAGGUGAAAUUCUUGGAUUUAUGAAAGAUUAACUUCUGCGAAAGCAUCUGCCAAGGAUGUUUUCAUUAAUCAAGAACGAAAGUUAGGGGAUCGAAGACGAUCAGAUACCGUCGUAGUCUUAACCAUAAACGAUGCCGACCAGCGAUUAGGAGACGUUGAAUACAAAACACCACCAUCGGUUGCGGUCGUCCUUGGCGUCUCGGUUUCGGCCGGGGCGCGGGGAUGGCUUAGCCCGGUGGCACCGGUGAAUGACUCCCUAGG